rnacentral:rRNA from 1 species
GAGUUUGAUCAUGGCUCAGAUUGAACGCUGGCGGCAUGCUUUACACAUGCAAGUCGAACGGUAACAAGCCUUCGGGUGCUGACGAGUGGCGAACGGGUGAGUAAUGCAUCGGAACGUGCCCGGUCGUGGGGGAUAACGCAGCGAAAGCUGUGCUAAUACCGCAUACGAUCUGAGGAUGAAAGCGGGGGACCGAGCAGCAAUGUUUGGCCUCGCGCGAUCGGAGCGGCCGAUGUCGGAUUAGCUAGUUGGUGGGGUAAAAGCCUACCAAGGCGACGAUCCGUAGCUGGUCUGAGAGGACGACCAGCCACACUGGGACUGAGACACGGCCCAGACUCCUACGGGAGGCAGCAGUGGGGAAUUUUGGACAAUGGGCGCAAGCCUGAUCCAGCAAUGCCGCGUGCGGGAAGAAGGCCUUCGGGUUGUAAACCGCUUUUGGCAGGAACGAAACGGUGUCCGCUAAUACCGGGCGCUAAUGACGGUACCUGCAGAAUAAGCACCGGCUAACUACGUGCCAGCAGCCGCGGUAAUACGUAGGGUGCGAGCGUUAAUCGGAAUUACUGGGCGUAGAGCGUGCGCAGGCGGUUGUGUAAGACAGGCGUGAAAUCCCUGGGCUCAACCU